UAUGUAGGGGGCAAGCGUUGUCCGGAUUUACUGGGCGUAAAGAGCGUGUAGGCGGCCACGCAGGUCCGUUGUGAAAACUGGAGGCUCAACCUCCAGCUGUCGACGGAAACCGUGUGGCUAGAGUCCGGAAGAGGAGAGUGGAAUUCCUGGUGUAGCGGUGAAAUGCGCAGAUAUCGGGAGGAACACCGGUGGCGAAGGCGGUUCUCUGGGCCUUACCUGACGCUGAGGAGCGAAAGCGCGGGGAGCGAACAGG
rnacentral:rRNA from 1 species